rnacentral:rRNA from 1 species
UACGGAAGGCAGCAGUGGGGAAUAUUGCACAAUGGGCGCAAGCCUGAUGCAGCCAUGCCGCGUGUAUGAAAAAGGCCUUCGGGUUGUAAAGUACUUUCAGUCGUGAGGAAGGUGUUAAGGUUAAUAACCUUAGCAAUUGACGUUAGCGACAGAAGAAGCACCGGCUAACUCCGUGCCAGCAGCCGCGGUAAUACGGAGGGUGCGAGCGUUAAUCGGAAUUACUGGGCGUAAAGGGCACGCAGGCGGUUAAUUAAGUUGGAUGUGAAAUCCCCGGGCUUAACCUGGGAAUGGCAUUCAAGACUGGUUAGCUAGAGUCUUGUAGAGGGGGUAGAAUUCCAUGUGUAGCGGUGAAAUGCGUAGAGAUGUGGAGGAAUACCGGUGGCGAAGGCGGCCCCUGGACAAAGACUGACGCUCAUGUGCGAAAGCGUGGGGAGCGAAACAGGGAUUAGGAUACC